CAAGUUAUGAGCCACUAUGAUUUAAAUUUACAAAACGAAAAUGAUGAAUAAGUACAAUAUCUAUUUGAAAUUACAUAAAUAGAGUUUAAAUCCUAAAAUACCAUGAACAAGAGGUAGCUUGUAUAUGGAACGUCUUCAGUGCAAGGCUUCAUCUUUCGCAGCUACGCAACUCCAAAAUCUGCACACAAGGUGCAUAAGUGUAGUUUGAGCACAACCGACCCCAUGUACUCAGUGAAUAUCUUGACUAACCUCAGUGAACUAGUGAAGAGGUUUUUUGGUCAACAGAGACUCACUUACUAUGUACAUGUGUAGAUAAUAAGCAGGAAAAACAAGUCAAGAAAUAUAUCGAAUAAUAGUAUGAGCAUCAACUGAAGAGCUAUGGAGCAAGUUCACAGACAUGGCAAACAAGUCAUAACCUCAUAAUUGUUUUUACGAAGGAAAGAGUAAUCAUGGAGUAUGUGUGAGGAUUAUAGCCAAACAUCACUAACAUACACUAUUGCGGCAUACAACCCGAUCCCACUAUCAAUAAACAUUGUAGUGGCGUGCAACCCGAUCCCAAUAUCAAUAAAUAUUAUUGCGGCGUGCAACUCGAUUCCAAUAUUAACAAACACUGUUAUGGCGUGCAACUCGCUAACAAUAUCCAUAAAUACUGUUGCGGGGUGCAACCCGAUUCUAAUAUACAGUAAUAUCAUAUGAAACCGCAACAUCAACCAAACACGGGAUAAGUUCACAACAUAACACCAAAACAAAAGAACAUGCGGUAUUCGAAUAAGUAAUACAACUCAAACAGAGUGAGAUGAGUAGUCGAAAAUCAAAAGCUAGUCUACCGCAUAUAAUGACAAGGCUUCCACAAAGCAUAACACACAACUAAUCUAAAAGUCAUCCAAUCCAGUUAAGCAAAGAAGAGUAGAACAUGAAACUAGUAAAGAUGUUUUCUAAGUAAGAACAGGGAUCAAAUGAAAGCAUUUAAUAUGUGUAAUCAUGUAGCAAGUAGAAGCAUGUAUCAAGUAAAUGCUUUAAUAAGUGAAGGCACAAAGUAAAUAAAAGCGUAUAGUAAGUGAAGACAUGUAGGAAGUGAAAGCAUAUAGUGAGUGAAGACAUGUAGCAGGUUAAGGUAUCUAACAAGUAAAUCGCGUGUUAAUUAGAGGCAUACAAUAUCUGUGAACUAAUAACAAGUAAAGACAUGAAUUCGAAGAGGACAAGUAGCCAAGGUAAAUCAAGUAAAAGUGUAGGUGUAUCAAUACUCGACAAGGUAAGGACAUAGCUAUAAUAGUACAGGCCAAAGGGAAAACACAUAGGUAACUACAUAAGGAACUCAAACGGAAUGUAUCAUACAAGAAAAUAAACAUUAAUAUGAACCAAAGUAAAAGACAGGAAAGUGCUUAAUGAAUGAGUUAUCACAAUAGAAAUCCAACUUCCUUUAUUUUCCGCAUGGUAAUAACUAACAAAAUAAUCUCAUUUCAUACGGCAUGGCCAAUAUUAUAUCAACCGCACGGAAAUACUCAUCGUGCCAAUAUCAUAUCAACCACAUAGAAAUACCUAUCGUGCCAAACGUAUCGCAAAGGCUCCAAUCAUCAUCUCUCAAUACGGAUAAAGAAGCUCAAGUAACAUGAAAAUAACAUCUAUAGAUAUAAAGUCCUGAUGCCACGAUCAAGUUAAGUAUGAGAAGGAAUCUCGUAAACAUCACAUUAAAUCCUUUUUAAGAUGUCAUAUGUUCUAAUAAGAUUUCUAAUAUAGAUAAUUGAGUUUAGUAGCUAUAGAGUUAAGUGAAGCAUAGGUUCAGGGAUCAUCAAUUUCAACAAAGGCACAAGGAAGCAUAUACUUUCCCCCUCCUGAGCAUGGAAACCCUGGCACAUGCAUAUACGCUCAUCACAUGGUAUAUGCAUCAUCUCCGCGUAUAGCAAAAAAUAUCAAUUAGUAGGAAAAAUUCUCCCAACAAAGCUAGACAUGAUACUUACUUCAUUUCGAAAUUCAAUAAAAAUCAACCACGGCAAUUUUCAAAUAAUUCAAAACAAGCUUAAGAAACUACUCACGAAUGAAAAGGGUUGAAUUUUUAUCAUAAUUGAAAAAGUCACCUAGUUGUCAACCCCGGAUCCGCUUGGUCGAAAUCUGAGAUUUGGACCAAAAUCCGAUUAUCCAUUCACCCUCGAGCCCGGUUAUGUGAUUUGUUUCGAAAUCCAACCUCAAUUUGAGGUCUAAAUCCUAAUUUUCACAAAAAUCUACCCAAAAUCUCUAAUUUUUACCAUAAAAUUCAUAGAUUUGAUAUUAAAAAACUCAUGAAAAGUAAUGUGGAAUUGAUAGAAAAUGAAUUAGAGUUGCUUACCAAUGAAUUUGGGAAGAAAAUGUUCUUCAAAAAUCACCUCUAGGGUGUUUGGGAUUGAGAAAUGGUGUAAUAUGAGCUAAGUUUCGAUUUUUCCCUCUUUUAUCCAGCUGCAGACGUCGCAAUUGCAAACUCUUAUUCGCAAUUGCAAUGUUCGCAAACGCGAACCACUAUUCGCAAAAGCGAACAAUUGUCCAACCUACAAUGGUCGCAAAGCAGCGAACCUGCCCCCCAUUCGCAUUUGUGGUCUCACCUUCGUAUUUGCGACGGUUGCCAAGCUAAACUCUAGUCGUAUUUGCGACACGGUAUCCGCAAAAGCCGACUCCCCAAGAUCACGUUUGUGAUGCUAUCUUCACAUUUGCAAAGUCAACAACCCCUCCACAUGUUUCGCAUUUGCGAGUCCAACUUAGUAAUUGCGAAAAAGUUAUCGCAAUUGCGAGACCUGCAGACCUGAAACACUAGAAACCCGUCAUCAACAGCCCAAUAACACUCCCAACACAUCUGAAACUCACCCGAGCCCCUCGAGCUCCAAACCGAACAUUCACACAUGUGUAAUAGCAUUCUACAAACGUGCUCGCUACCUCAAAUCAUCAAAAUAGUAUUAAAUAACAAGAAUCGAUCAUCAAAACUAUAUUUUCAAUAUUAAAACUUAUUUUUAAUAUUUUUUACAUAAUCCACCGAAAUGUGCUUGGGUCACCCCGGACUCAACCAAUCGUGCGUACAAAACCAAAAAUAUCAUAUGAACCUACCGAAAUCGCCAAAAAUAUUGAUCGUAGUGAACUCUUGCCUUAUUUUAUGUAAAAUAAUAUUUUCUUCAAACUUUUACAUCAAAGCUUUCUGAAAAAAGAGACACGUACAACCCACAUAAAUCAAUAAACAUCAAAUGAAGUUACGGGAAGUCUCAAAAUACAGAAAAGGAAGUUAAUACUCAAAACGACCUGUCGAAUCGUUACAAUAUAAGUGUCCACACUAAUAUUUAAUAGCAUACACUUAUAUAUUUAACACAAUUCACACUAAGGACUUGUUUUAAAUGGUUGGAAAAAUUUAAUCAAAUACCCUGACGAGUCCACGACAGCAUACACUAUGCCCCAGAUCUAUCAUGGUGGCAUACACAAUGCCCCAAAUAUAUUACGGCAGCGAAGAAAUAAUUUAUAACGCCACAACGCCAAAGCAAGAUUCUACGUCACACCACAAAUCACUUAUUAAAUAAUUUUCAUUUUUUAACAAAAUAAUAUAUAUUUGCGGCUUGUCACAGACCACAGACUCUGUCAAGCACAUGCUCGUCCUAACACGUGGACCAACUAAUAAAACAUACUUUCAAAUUAGAUUUUGAAAAUAAAUCACCAAAGCUUAGAAUCUCACUUACCUCGCUAGCGACAAGUUUUCCAACCUCAUGACAUCUAGAACACCAACCAAACAACCUCCAAUGGCCUCAACCUGUGCAAAAUAUUGAUUAACAAUAUCAAUUAUACUAGUCGCAAUUAUUUCAAAGUUUUAGAAUAUCAAAUCAAAGUCAACUAAAAAUUCAACUAACCAAUAUGGCAAAAUUCCCGAAUUAAUUAUAUUUUCGAACUACCCAUAAGCCAUAGAGUCCAAUCUAUAAGUUUCAUUGUUGAUAUCAAUUGACUGGUUAAAUCUCAUAUUUUCUAAAUUUCAAGCUUACAACUAAAUCUCAAGUAGUGAAUAUAAAGGCGAAAUGAUACUCUAAUAUUACGAUUCAACUCAAUGUUCAUGAUAUAAUUCAUAUAUAUUAGCAGAAUAUAUAGCCGAAUAUGGAGACCAAGUAUAAAUUUUCAUACCUUAAAGUUUCAAUAGCCGAAGUUGAGAACAGAAUCCAAAUUAAAACUUCUUUAAGCUUCAGUGGUUCCAAGAGAGAUGAAAUGCUUAGCUUUUUCAUGAAAUUCUCCAAUAGUAACUGUUGCCUACAAAAUAGCUUACCCAAAUAUUGCUCUUU
rnacentral:lncRNA from 1 species